rnacentral:lncRNA from 1 species
CUGACACACUGCUGGUGCUGUCUAUUUUACAUGUAUCUUUGAAAAACAAGAUUAUUAUCUUGGCAGCACAACAAACUGUAUUUGAUAUAGCCAUUGCCUUCUAUCAAGGACUGUAGCAGAGACAAACUGAGAUUAUUUAGGCUUGUUUUGCCCAGCUGUCCUGAAUACCUAGGAAAUGACCACUGUGGUCCAUGUUAUGGAGAUAGAGAAGCAGAUGAGACCUUUUUCAGCCCAGACAGCUGGGUAGCUGGUGCCAGCCGAAGCACUGUGGAGCACCAGUCCUGUGUGGAGCACCAGUGCUACCAAUUGUUUUCAACCUUCCUGCUAGACAGAUCUAAGACAGCCUGGGCACAUAGAGAGGCAGAUGGUCCAUAACAUAUGGUGUUCAUCAUCUGGGGCCAAAAAAACUGUCUGUCGGAGGGAUGGAAGGAAACACCAAACUUUCCUAUGGUGCAAUGCAGGAGUGAUCUGAUGUCAUCUAACUGGAAAACUUGGCUUACUCCUACAAACACACAGGUAGUUGAAGUGCCUGCUGCAGAUGUUUGGCUACAACACCCAUCCUGGGUGCAUCCGUAUUCAGCAUACCAUGGAAGAAGUGACUCAAGGAAGCACAAAAGUCCUGAAGAUGGAGAAAUCAUUGGCCCCAGAUGGACUUUUUCCAAAGCCUCACAGAUUGAUCCCCGGCUUCUACUUUAGACUUGUGCUACCCAGUCACGUGUAUACAAAGCUGAACAUGGUAAAGCAAGCUGAGGGGGAAACAAAAGCAGUGGAAAAUGUGUUGUAACAUAACCUGUGGAACUGAAGCAAAAACGGG